rnacentral:rRNA from 1 species
GAUGAACGCUGGCGGCGUGCUUAACACAUGCAAGUCGAGCGAGAAGUUUUGAAAAGAUUCUUCGGAUGAAAUUUAAAAUGGAAAGCGGCGGACGGGUGGGUAACGCGUAGGCAACCUGCCCCAUACAAAGGGAUAGCAUUUGGAAACGAAUAUUAAUACCUUAUGAAACUUAACUAGUGCAUGCUAGGUAGGUCAAAGAUUUAUCGGUAUGGGAUGGGCCUGCGUCUGAUUAGCUAGUUGGUGAGGUAACGGCUCACCAAGGCGACGAUAGUAGCCGACCUGAGAGGGUGAACGGCCACAUUGGAACUGAGACACGGUCCAAACUCCUACGGGAGGCAGCAGUGGGGAAUAUUGCACAAUGGGGGAAACCCUGAUGCAGCAACGCCGCGUGAACGAUGAAGGCCUUUGGGUCGUAAAGUUCUGUUCUAGGUGAUGAAAACUGACAGUAACCUAGGAGAAAGCCCCGGCUAACUCCGUG